GCCCCAGUAACGGCGAGUGAAGCGGCAAAAGCUCAAAUUUGAAAUCUGGCUCCUUCGGGGCCCGAGUUGUAAUUUGUAGAGGAUGCUUCGGGUGUGGCCACGGCCUAAGUUCCUUGGAACAGGACGUCAUAGAGGGUGAGAAUCCCGUCUUGGGUGGUUGGCCCACGCCCGUGUGAAGCUCCUUCGACGAGUCGAGUUGUUUGGGAAUGCAGCUCUAAGCGGGUGGUAAAUUUCAUCUAAAGCUAAAUAUUGGCUGGAGACCGAUAGCGCACAAGUAGAGUGAUCGAAAGGUUAAAAGCACCUUGAAAAGGGAGUUAAACAGCACGUGAAAUUGUUGAAAGGGAAGCGCUUGCGGCCAGACUCGGGCGCGAGGUUCAGCGGGUGCGUGUCACCCGUGCACUCCUCGCCGCCCGGGCCAGCAUCAGUUCUAGCGGCUGGUCAAAGGCCCCCGGAAUGUGUCGUCUCUCGGGACGUCUUAUAGCCGGGGGUGCAAUGCAGCCCGCCGGGACUGAGGAACGCGCUUCGGCUCGGAUGCUGGCGUAAUGGCCGUAAGCGGCCCGUCUUGAAACACGGACCAAGGAGUCUAACAUCCACGCGAGUGUUCGGGUGUCAAACCCGUGCGCGCAGUGAAAGCGAACGGAGGUGGGAGCCUUAGGGCGCACCAUCGACCGAUCCUGAAGUCUUCGGAUGGAUUUGAGUAGGAGCGUGGCCGUUGGGACCCGAAAGAUGGUGAACUAUGCCUGAAUAGGGUGAAGCCAGAGGAAACUCUGGUGGAGGCUCGCAGCGGUUCUGACGUGCAAAUCGAUCGUCAAAUUUGGGCAUAGGGGCGAAAGACUAAUCGAACC
rnacentral:rRNA from 2 species